ACACCUCAGGUCGUUGGCGUGUCCGCAGACAAGAGGCCCUCUGGGAUGGCCGCCGCCCUGGUGUAACCCCCCCCCUGCGCCCUCCUCUCUCCUCGCAGGUCCGGACACCCCCGGCGACCCUGUGUACUCUCUGGCGCAGCACCCCAGCCCCAUGGGCGUGGACGAGACGACCUGUGCUUGGGGGGUGUGACAGCUGUGCCCCCACCACCCCACCCCCUCCGCCCUGGGAUUUGAACCAGCAACCUUUCAGUUGUGAGUCCCUGAGCCCCCCCGCUGGCUCCUCUCGCGUUCAUAGCGUCCCCCCUUGCUGGGGACUGAGCAGGCCUGCAGACCGAGGCGCUCUAGAUAAAUAAUACUGUAUUAAUCCAGUAGGGAACUUGAUGUGUUACAGCAGUCCAGCCCAAGACAAGCAAAACAGACAUCAGAAUAGUUAUAAAAACAAAAGACAAACAAAAUAAAUAAAUACAUAGGUGUGUGCAAAAUGUGCUGAUCAUAGUCACUGUAAAAACAAUAAAAU
rnacentral:lncRNA from 1 species